GCAAAUAUAGUCUAAAAAAGACAUUAGAUUGUGAUUCUAAAAAUAAAAGUUAAACCCUUUUUAUUUGCC
rnacentral:tRNA from 1 species